rnacentral:piRNA from 1 species
UAGCAUAGUGUAACAUAGUCCUUUCUUCACC